UACAGAGGUCUCAAGCGUUGUUCGGAUUCAUUGGGCGUAAAGGGUGCGUAGGCGGCGCGGUAAGUCGGGUGUGAAAUCUUGGAGCUUAACUCCGAAACUGCAUUCGAUACUGCCGUGCUUGAGGACUGGAGAGGAGACUGGAAUUUACGGUGUAGCGGUGAAAUGCGUAGAUAUCAGGAAGAACACCAACGGCGAAGGCAGCUCGCUGGGACGGAACUGACGCUAAGGCGCGAAAGCGUGGGGAGCGAACAGG
rnacentral:rRNA from 1 species